rnacentral:tRNA from 1 species
GCGCGGGUGGCGAAAUGGCAGACGCGCAUCCUUGAGGUGGAUGUGCUCGUAAGGGCGUGGAGGUUCGAAUCCUCUCCCGCGCA